rnacentral:sRNA from 1 species
CCCCCCGUAAUAUAGCAAAAAUCACGAAAAGGCCCGAAAAAGUACAUUUAGUUCAAAAUUUGGAGUAGAAAAAAAAACAAUAGAAGAAUUUCAUUUUCCUUCCUCAGUCAUCGGAGAGCUCUCUUUGGGCUUUCCAAAAAGGUAUCACAUGCCAAGUUUGGCCUCACAGUCUAAAAGUUAUAGAGUCAUACAUUUUUAACAAAACAAAAUAGAGAAAAACCGAAAAAAAGAGGGAUGCAACACGAGGACUUUCCGGGAGGUAAUCUAUCCUAGUACUACUCUCGCCCAAGCACCCUUAACUGCGGAGUUCUGAUGGGAUCCGGUGCAGUAGUGCUGGUAUGAUUGCAUGUGUUACUACAUGCAAUGUAAUCGUAUCUAUUCUUUUUUAAAGACUUUAUGAUCCAUUUGCCGUGAGUCCCACCAGCUAUGUAGGAAUAUUCUAUCUUCUUUAUAAGAGCUUUGAUACAUGCAAAAUACUGGAAAACAGUGUCCGAACAUAUAAUUUUCCCCCCGUAAUAUAGCAAAGAUCACGAAAAGGCCCGAAAAAGUACAUUUAGUUCAAAAUUUGGAGUAGAAAAAAAAACAAUAGAAGAAUUCCAUUUUCCUUCCUCAAUCAUCGGAGAGCUCUCUUUGGGCUUUCCGAAAAGGUAUCUCAUGCCAAGUUUGGCCUCACGAACUAAAAGUUAUAGAGUCAUACAUUUUUAACAAAACAAAAUAGAGAAAAACCGAAAAAAGAGGGAUGCAACACAAGGACUUUCCAGGAGGUCACCCAUCCUAGUACUACUCUCGCCCAAGCACCCUUAACUGCGGAGUUCUGAUGGGAUCCGGUGCAUUAGUGCUGGUAUGAUCGCAUGUGUUACUACAUGCAAUGUAAUCGUAUCUAUUCUUUUUUAAAGAUUUUAUGAUCCAUUUGCCGUGGGUCCCACCAGCUAUGUAGGAAUACCCUAUCUUCUUUAUAAGAGCUUUGAUACAUACAAAAUAUUGGAUCACAAUGUCAGAACAUAUAAUUUUCCCCCCUUAAUAUAGCAAAGAUCACUAAAAGGCCCGAAAAAAUACAUUUAGUUCAAAAUUUGGAGUAGAAAAAAAAACAAUAAAAGAAUUCCAUUUUCCUUCCUCAGUUAUCGGAGAACUCUCUUUGGGCUUUCCGAAAAGGUAUCACAUGCCAAGUUUGGCCUCACGGUCUAAAAGAUAUAGAGUCAUACAUUAUUAACAAAACAAAAUAGAGAAAAACCGAAAAAAAUAGGGAUGCAACACGAGGACUAUCCUGGAGGUCACCCAUCCUAGUACUAAUCUCGCCCAACCACCCUUAACUGCGUAGUUCUGAUGGGAUCCGAUGCAUUAGUGCUGGUAUGAUCGCAUUUGUUACUAUAUGCAAUAUAAUCGUAUCUAUUCUUUUUUAAAGACUUUAUGAUCCAUUUGCCGUGGGUCCCACCAGCUAUGUAGGAUACCCUAUCUUCAUAAUAAGAGCUUUGAUAAAUGCAAAAUAUUGGAAAACAAUGUCCGAACAUAUAAUUUCCCCCCCCC